CAACUACUCCCUUUGUCCCAAAAUUCUUGUCUUAGAUUUGUCUAGAUACGGAUGUAUCAAGUUGUCUAGAUAGGGAUGUAUCUAAUACUAAAAUGUGACAUGAUACAUCCGUAUCUAGACAAAUCUAAGACAAGAAUUUUGGGACGGAGGGAGCACUUU
rfam:Triticum aestivum genome assembly, contig: Triticum_aestivum_CS42_TGACv1_scaffold_576966_7BL